UAAAACCAAAAGAAGACGGAGAAGAAGACGAAGACAUCAAACAACAUCAAAACUCUCUCAAUAACGAAAGACAGAUAUCUGAAAGGAGGAGGUAGUUCUCAGUGCUGUCACCUUUGAAUGACAUCAUCCUCAGGUGAGGCUGUCCUCUGAGAGCGCAGAGCGAUGAAUGAGAGAUUUCAGGAGACAGAUGAGAGAUGCGCUCCCUGGGUCAUCGCCUCACUUCACCUCAGCUGUAACUCACCGUAUCUCAGCACACUCGUGUUCAACUGCCUGAUUAUCUUCUGUAAAGUCCUCCACAUUCUUCGGUUUUCCAGCAUCUUCUGCAUAUUUUAACCCUUUCCAGCUGUGACUGUAUGAUUUGGACAGCCAUCUUUUCACACUGUGGGCAAUUGAGGGAACACAGCUAU